CAAACCCUAAUUCCCUUAAUCACAAAAUUUGCCUCAUUUUUCUCUCCUCAUCCAUCCUAUCAUUAUGCUUCUUCUUCAAACUGUUUUCGACAAUUUUGAUGUGGUGGUUUCUACUUUCGGACAAAGCGGAUUUCGACGGUUUAAUGGUGUUGGCUCAAGCAAAAAAAGGGGGAGAUUUGCGGCAGUUUGGUAAGAAAAGCUUCACUUUUUAUAUUUUAGAUCUGAACAUUGUUUGUCUGUGGCUUUGGCGGAGUUGGAAAAGGGUAUACAAAACCAAAGAUGUGAAGGUUGGACAAUGAUGAACACGAUGAUGGUGAUGUUGAUCGAUGUUGUUGGGUUCGUGAUGAACGGUGUUGAACGAAUUUGGAUGAAUGAGUUGAGUUGGUUGAAGAUCUAUGAAGAUGAUGACGAAAGCUGCAAAUCUGAAUCUCGGGUGAGGUAUUUCUGAUUUUUAUUCUUGAUCUCUCUUCCUCUCUCACGAUUCUGAAGGGUUUUGAUUUUAAGGAAAAUGAUGAAUAAAUUGUUUAGGUUUUUUUUUAUGAAUGCAGGGUCGGCAUAUUUUUUGUUUGUGAUUUUGUGGUUUGAUUUUGUGAUUUUUGUUGAAAUUUAUUUGAUUUUUUCUCAAACUAUGGUAUUCGAUGUAUUUCGUUGAUAAAGUUUUGAUUUUUAUAUGUUUUGGAGACACCUUUUUGUUAUAUGCAGGUGAUGAUUUGAGUAGAGUCACUUCUGGCCACAUUCUUUUUGUGGUUUGUCUGGCCCUGUACUUUGAUAAUAUAAUCGCAAAUGCUAUGGGUGUGAGGAAAUCUGUGUUAUACUUUCUAAAUCCUCAUUAUUGGACGGGAUAGGCAGCUCGAUGCUUCUCUCGGACUCUGAUUUAAUAGGUUUCUGGGAUAGGCUCUGUGCUGCCAUUUC